AAAAACCAGUUCCUGUACAAUCACUGAAGUUAAGCAACAUCUUAGAGCCUGGUCAGUCCCUAGAUGGGUGACCACUUGGGAAUAUUGGGUGCUGUAAG